AGGAAAAGAAGGAAGAACAGGUCA
rnacentral:piRNA from 1 species